AGUGAACGCUGGCGGUAGGCCUAACACAUGCAAGUCGAACGGCAGCACAGUAAGAGCUUGCUCUUACGGGUGGCGAGUGGCGGACGGGUGAGGAAUACAUCGGAAUCUACUUUUUCGUGGGGGAUAACGUAGGGAAACUUACGCUAAUACCGCAUACGACCUACGGGUGAAAGCAGGGGAUCUUCGGACCUUGCGCGAUUGAAUGAGCCGAUGUCGGAUUAGCUAGUUGGCGGGGUAAAGGCCCACCAAGGCGACGAUCCGUAGCUGGUCUGAGAGGAUGGUUAGGCCAACUGGAACUUGGACACGGGUCCGGCCUCCAAGGGGGGGAGGAGUGGGGAAUUAUGGAACAUGGGCGGAAGCCUGAACCCAGCAAAACGGGUGGGGUAAAAAAGGCUUCCGGUUGGAAAAGCCCUUUGUUGGGAAAGAAAAGCAGCAGGUUAAUACCCCGCUGUUCUGACGGUACCCAAAGAAUAAGCACCGGCUAACUUCGUG
rnacentral:rRNA from 1 species